rnacentral:misc_RNA from 1 species
GUUUGUUUCAACUUUCAGCACCUUCCCCCAAAACCCUUCAUUAGCAGCGUCAUCUCUGAUCUCUUCUAGCUCAACUGCAUAGUGCGUAGAUACAGAUCUUCUAGAUUAAUUGGUCUUCUGUCAGAUCCCCAGUCGUCAUAUUCAAAAUUUCGAGGAAUCGUUAGAGGAUAUGGAUACAUCAAGCCCUGCAAUUUUUGUUAAUGGAGAGUCGUUGCAGAUGUAUGUAGGGAAAAAGGUUCGAUCAGUGGUUCAAGUUAUUAAAUCUGAUGGUGGAGACAUGAUUGGAAAAUCUACAGACGAACAUCAAUGGACUAUAAAGGGCUUGUCAUCUGCUCCUCUUAUGAGUUAUGUGGAGGUUAUUGGUGUUGCUGAGAGCAACCAAUCAAUCUGUGCUGAAUUAUGGACCGACUUUGGCAAAACAUUUGAUGCCUACUCUUACAAUCAACUAUGCCAACUUGCAAACGGGGAAUUCAAAGCUUUAUUUCUCUAGGAGCGUGCCGUGGCAGCUUCCAAUGCCUUGCUUCUGUGCGGAGUAGCUACUGCAAUCAUGGUGAAGUUGGGAUUGUAAAGGAAAGUAGUUUAGUUACUAUUUCAUGUGUUGAUUAAGACUGACGAUAUUUGCAAGGCCUAGGUUUUUCUGAAUUGCUGUUCAGAUUCUGUCUUGUUAAUGUAAUAAUAUGGAGCAGGGUUUUCUAUUA